rnacentral:rRNA from 1 species
GAUGAACGCUGGCGGCGUGCCUAAUACAUGCAAGUCGAGCGAACAGACGAGGAGCUUGCUCCUCUGACGUUAGCGGCGGACGGGUGAGUAACACGUGGAUAACCUACCUAUAAGACUGGGAUAACUUCGGGAAACCGGAGCUAAUACCGGAUAAUAUAUUGAACCGCAUGGUUCAAUAGUGAAAGACGGUGUUGCUGUCACUUAUAGAUGGAUCCGCGCCGCAUUAGCUAGUUGGUAAGGUAACGGCUUACCAAGGCAACGAUGCGUAGCCGACCUGAGAGGGUGAUCGGCCACACUGGAACUGAGACACGUUCCAGACUCCUACGGGAGGCAGCAGUAGGGAAUCUUCCGCAAUGGGCGAAAGCCUGACGGAGCAACGCCGCGUGAGUGAUGAAGGUCUUCGGAUCGUAAAACUCUGUUAUUAGGGAAGAACAAAUGUGUAAGUAACUAUGCACGUCUUGACGGUACCUAAUCAGAAAGCCACGGCUAACUACGUG